AGAACGAACGCUGGCGGCAUGCCUAAUACAUGCAAGUCGAACGAAGGCUUCGGCCUUAGUGGCGCACGGGUGCGUAACGCGUGGGAAUCUGCCCCUUGGUUCGGAAUAACAGUUGGAAACGACUGCUAAUACCGGAUGAUGACGAAAGUCCAAAGAUUUAUCGCCAAGGGAUGAGCCCGCGUAGGAUUAGCUAGUUGGUGAGGUAAAGGCUCACCAAGGCGACGAUCCUUAGCUGGUCUGAGAGGAUGAUCAGCCACACUGGGACUGAGACACGGCCCAGACUCCUACGGGAGGCAGCAGUAGGGAAUAUUGGACAAUGGGCGAAAGCCUGAUCCAGCAAUGCCGCGUGAGUGAUGAAGGCCUUAGGUUGUAAAGCUCUUUACCCGAGAUGAUAAUGACAGUAUCGGGAAGAAUAACGCCCCGACUAACUCCGUGCCAGCAGCCCGAC
rnacentral:rRNA from 1 species